GGAUGAUGUUGCGUGACAACAUUGUGACAUCAUAACUUACGCUGUUUUAUUUGCUGUUGCACCAAUAUAACAUAAAGGCAUAUAACAGCACCUUGGAUGUAUGUAGUGCUUCCCUCCCAUGGAACUUAAGGCACUUCACAGGCAUUUUCUUUCUAAACCUCACAACAUCUCUCUAAGGAAAAGUGCUUUGCAAGAGUUGGAGAAAAGACAAAUACUCAAACCAAUCAUGCCUCAGUUGCAGGACCAUUAUCAAGCAAGCAAGAUUAUAUGCCACACACAGAACACAAAGAAAAGUUGUCAUUUUAGCAAACAGAGCAGCCAUCCUUGGACCAACAAAAUCUCAUGCUAAGAUGAUGUCAGGAGAAAGAAUGACGUUUCCAGGGAACACAGGAAGAGAACAAAGAUAGUCAAAACACAUGACCCCUGAAAGAUUAAGCGUGCCUUUAUCUUCUGUGCUGCUCCGGACACCACCCUCUGCUUGUGACACAUCACUCUCCUGAACCUUGUCGUCUAGUACAGCCCCUGAUUGUCCCUAUGCAGACAGACAGGAGAAUUUGACAGGCUUCCCUGGGGCACCAG
ensembl:lncRNA